GGCCCGGUAGCUCAAUGGAUAGAGCAUCAGUCUUCGGAACUGAGGGUUGGGGGUUCGAUUCCCUCCCGGGUCGCCA
rnacentral:tRNA from 1 species